UUAGUUUCUUAAUUGGGAAAUAGGAUGAAUGGUUUCACUAAAAAAUAGUUUUUAUACUCAUUUGCGAAAUUUUAAUCUAAGUGAAAAUACUUAGCAGUUGUACUAGGACGAGAAGACCCUAUGAAGCUGGCAAACUAUUAAUACAUAUUCCUAUUAUUUAUUAGUUUAUUUUUUGGGGUAAAAUUUAAUAAUACUAUUAACACAAUUGUACUAAAUUACAUCCUUUAGGAAUUAUGAAGAAGCUCCUCUAGGGAUAACAGCAUUAUGCUUAAAAGAGUUCUUAUCAGAAUAAGCGUUUGUGACCUCGAUGUUGAAUUAAAUGCUCUUUUAUGUGCAGGAGCUUAGAAGAG
rnacentral:rRNA from 1 species